AGCAUAGUUUGAAAAAUAUAAAUGUGUUAGUAUGUACGUGGUAGUAGUUAGUAGUGCCACUAAUCUUGUUGGACAAGUGUAACAAAAGUAUAAUAUAUAGCAUGCAUGUUGCUUUAAUAUUUAUAAUUAAUAUAAGUAGCUUUAAGUUAUUGUUUUUCAAUAACCGCCUUGCAUGCUUAUAUACAUGCGUAGAGUCAGUGAGCUUGAGGAAGGAAAAAAAAAAGAAAAAGAAAACAGAAGAAAAAUAGAGAGGGAGACGUAGAUUGAAAAACAAAAUUUUAUAUAGUUAUGCACUAAAAUCAAAUAGAAUUGCACUAUUGAGAUUCAAGGAUCGAGAAACUGAUUAGGAGGCAGAUUCAGAACUUGGUUAGAUUUUCUGCCGUAAUCAGGAAUAAGAUAUCAAUGAUGUGUGGGUUGAUGUGAGUUACAGUUAUUAAUAGGGUCGGCGGCUGACACGUUUUAGCAACUUUCUCCUCCUCAUUGUUUUUGCAUGUAGAUAAAUGUAUAGUAUACAGGGUGGUGAGAGGGUGCCACUACUGUUCAGAAUAUUUUGAAUAUGUACUUGAUAAAAGAGUGGUUUUUGAAAUUU